rnacentral:rRNA from 1 species
UACGUAGGGUGCGAGCGUUGUCCGGAAUUAUUGGGCGUAAAGAGCUUGUAGGCGGUCUGUCGCGUCUGCUGUGAAAAUCCGGGGCUCAACCCCGGACUUGCAGUGGGUACGGGCAGACUAGAGUGUGGUAGGGGAGACUGGAAUUCCUGGUGUAGCGGUGAAAUGCGCAGAUAUCUGGAGGAAUACCGGUGGCGAAGGCGGCGUUCUGGACUGCAACUGACACUGAGGAACGAAAGCCAGGGGAGCAAACGGG